GAUGAACGCUGGCGGCGUGCCUAAUACAUGCAAGUCGAGCGAACAGACGAGGAGCUUGCUCCUCUGACGUUAGCGGCGGACGGGUGAGUAACACGUGGAUAACCUACCUAUAAGACUGGGAUAACUUCGGGAAACCGGAGCUAAUACCGGAUAAUAUAUUGAACCGCAUGGUCCAAUAGUGAAAGACGGUUUUGCUGUCACUUAUAGAUGGAUCCGCGCCGCAUUAGCUAGUUGGUAAGGUAACGGCUUACCAAGGCAACGAUGCGUAGCCGACCUGAGAGGGUGAUCGGCCACACUGGACCUGAGCCACGGUCCAGACUCCUACGGGAGGCAGCAGUAGGGAAUCUUCGGCAAUGGGCGAAAGCCUGACGGAGCAACGCCGCGUGAGUGAUGAAGGUCUUCGGAUCGUAAAACUCUGUUAUUAGGGAAGAACAAAUGUGUAAGUAACUAUGCACGUCUUGACGGUACCUAAUCAGAAAGCCACGGCUAACUACGUG
rnacentral:rRNA from 1 species